ACAACUUUCCCUUAGCAGCGGGUAGGGUUUAAGCGAGUCUCUGCCUCUACCGGUUCAACCAAUUCAACUCACUCUCCCUUCGUUUCCAGUCACUCUUCUCCAGAAAAUGGCUUCGUUGUGCAGAUCAGCUCUCAUGGCUGGCUCAAGAUCCAUAUCAUCUCGCUCCAGAACGCUCACCCAGAGCUCCCUCAACGCCUUAAACCCCAAACCCAUGUCGUCUCCCUUUGCUUCCUCCACUAAAGCCAUGCCUAGCGCUAUAAGGUUCGUUUCGGUAUUGGGUAGCUUGGAAUCAAUGAUGCCGCUUCACAGUGCCAUUGCUUCUGCUCGGCUCAAGUCCAACAUUGCCUUCGAUUCCACCUGCUGGAGUUGCCUUUCUCAGGACGUUGCAGUUCCUCGGUGACAACAACUCUGGGCUGAAGUCAUUUCAAGUUUUCAACCAAAUAGGCUUGCAUAGUGGCUCCUCCAUCUUUGUCCUUUCAUUUUUCCGUUUGAUUUCUGGCAAUUGCAUUGUGGCUUGUCGAUCCCAGCUGAACAUGAACCAAAACUAACCAAGCAACCUGGCAUCACUUCGAUCAAGUUUCACUGUACUGAGCUCCUUAUGGUGCAGAAAUUGCUGUUUCUUAGACGAUUCCUUCAUCAAUUUUCAUUUUACUUGAACUAUAACAGACCCAUUCCAUUGUUAUGGCGCAUAAUGUAUGCUUGGACACAAGAACUAAAACUUGUGAACCUAGAAAUAUAGGAACUGUUUUGUUUGUAUGGUUAGUACUUAAUACUGCCUAGUAUGGUAUCUACUUGUUCGGCUCAUGCGGGAUACAUGUGACGUGCCGAGGCAUAAAGCUGAUUUUGGGUAAUAAUGUAUUGUUGAGGGUCUAAAUUUAAUUUCAGUCUCUUUUCACAGAAAUGCAGAAUUGUGAAC